AAUAAACAUCUAAUGAAUGAACACCAUAAAUACUUAUGAUUUGGGGCUAUAACAAUAUAAAAUAUAAUUGAAAAAUGAUGGUGCCACCUAUUGGUGAUGAUAUAAAAUGUAACCUUAUCACAGACAUGUCAUUUCAUGUUUCACAAUCAUUUGUUACUUAUUCCCACAGAGAUUCUAAGAGUAACUGAGGAGCUACAAGGAAGGCUUGAAUCAUGUGCAUAUGAGGGAGGCACCAAUGUUUCAACUGGGUUGCUUUCUAUUGGGUGCCUAUUAAGCACUCAGCGCGUUGGAGGAUGCCAGAGAAUUGAAGACUGCCUUCAAUCUCCUGCCUUCAAGGAUCAUCUUAUCUACUUGGGAAGAGACCUACCUACUAAGAACUGUCAACCGAUACAACCAAAUAAUUAACAGCCUGACAUUAAAAUAUAUGAUGUUCAUUCCAUGUGUAUGGAUAUAUUUUAUGUACUGUAUUAUAUGAAAACCAUACUUUCUGAACCCACAGGACAGGAAUAAGAUUGUUUUGUGCACAAUUUACCUCAGGCCUACUAUACCACAGCACCUGGCACUUAGUAGGAAAUUGAUAAAUACUAUUGAAUAACUGAAUAAGUCAGGUAUCAUAGUAAAAUAUAUGUGGCUUAUAGAAUACUUUAAAUCAAGACUGGCAAAACAGAUCAAAAAAUAUGUAUAAUCAUAGGAAAUCCUAUAGAGCAAGUGAAUCUUGAGUUAGAUUCUGGAAAAUUCCUUAAGGGACUUAUAACCUAAUAGAUUGAAACCAUCAGUACAGAGAGACCUCUUGUACCCUUGGAUUUGGUUUGAAUUUGAGAUUUUUGUGGUUUGCUGUGCUAACCCACGCUUUUCCCUCACACAUGGACUGGAUUUUUGCUCGAAGUCCAAAGCAAAAGAAGAGAAGAAGACAGAUGGUGGAUAGUUGCAAGAAUGUAUACAUUAAUUCUACUUGCGGAAGUUUUAUGGGUGGGAAUAAUUCCUGAAGUAGGCAAGCAGCUUGUUUUCCUUCUUCCUACCCUCCAACCCAACUGUGUGCUCCAAAGUAUUCCUAAAAUAUUUGGCAAUAAGUACUACAAAUCUUAAAAAUCAUUGUGUUUUGAUUUAGUAAUUUUCCUUCUAAAAGUAUGUUAAGGAAA
rnacentral:lncRNA from 1 species